GACGACCGUAUCCAGUUCCAGGGACGGAAAGGCUCGCGAUCCUCGUUCGCUUCGUAAGGACACGGUGCGCGUUUGGCGAUCCACACCAGCUGCGAGAACAUCAUGUUGGACUUAGGGACUCAAAAUGGAUGAUUAAAAAGAGGAGGAGAAAGCCUUGUCAUCGACUGUCGCUGCAUCUCGCAUCCUGUAUUCCGUCCUGGAGUCGGCUUUCGGUUGUCAUUGGAGCGAGGCACUCAAUGGUCCCACACGAAACUACGAUUCGAUCGGAAACGCAACGUUAAUUAGUAAUCAUAUUAAUCGAUUAUGGUCAUCAAAUGCUACGGGCGAAAUAUCUCCAAUACGUAUCACUCUAUAAUAGCUUUGGCCGUUUUGAAAGCUCUUAAUAUGUUGAUAAUAUGUAUUGAUUCUGCCGGUGUUGUUUACCGUCGAUUGUUUUGGCACUCGCGUAUAUCGUGUACCUUUCUGUGACCGUGUCAUUACGUAUCGAGUCGACGGGUGACGUACAUACAUCGCAAUGCAAAACAAAUGUGUCGGCGAGAUAUUUAUCGUUUCCGUCGACUUAAAAUAUUUGAUCAAGUUUUCGUCGACGAAAUCAUGUUCUUUAACAUGCGUUUCUCCGAUCGAAUCGUAUCUACGCGAGUGUCAGUGUCGGUGCCAUGUGUACGUAUCCGGUGUGCCACAUCGAGGUAACUAGGAGCCAGGAUGCUCACGACGAUGGAUGCAGGAGGCCGGGACGCGGAUAGCGAUACGUCAUAUAUUUCCAGUAACCUCAGAAUGUCCAAGCAGAUGAUCGAAUGCGGAGUAUAACCGAAGAACGGCGAUAAUCGAAGGCCGUCGCGCUGGGCGCUCGCAGAUCGAAGUUAUUCGGUUUGUUGGGUACCCGAGAUCGACCUUAUAUGAGUUGCGACUAAAUAUAUAAUAGCCAGGACGAAAUUUCCGGCCUCUGUUCACGUCCUAGGCGUCGUCUCCAGUGAGGGUCACGUCAUGCCGCCACAUUUCUUUCAAAAGAAAGAAACUGUCACGAAAGAGGUUUAUUUACGCGUGUUGACGAGGGUAGUGAAGCCGUGGAUAGAUACCGUGGCCGCCGGGAGGCCGUACGUCUUUCAGCGGGACAGCGCGCCAGCACAAACAAGUCAUUUACUUCAAAACCGGCUGUAGGAUAAUGUGGACAUGUUUUGGCCCAAGAAAUCCUGGCCUUUGAAUCCAUUGGAUUACUACGUGCGGAGCGUCAUUGAACGAGUGACCAACAAGUUGAGACAUCCCAACGUGACAUCUGACAGGCCGCUAUCGAGGCGGCAUUCGCCAAUAUGGGCAAGGACGCGGUUGCAGAGAGCGUGUCAGCGCUUCAGGACGAGGAUCGAAGCAGUCAUCGAAGCAAAAGGGGGUUACAUAGAAUAAUUUUACUCUAAAAAGAUACCGCUAGUGAUGUAUAAAAAGUUUUUUUGUAAUUUUUACACUUCGACGAACUGAAUUUUGUUUACAAAUUGUUCAUUUUGUCCGGAUUUUGAUGGCGGGCCCUGCAUAUACAUGUACAUGCGACGCUUAUAUCCUCGUUAUCUCUGUCAUAUAAUUUUCGAUAUAUUUUAAUAAAGCAAAAUCGUUUGUGUGUACAUGAAAGAGACACCAAUCGAACGGUGAUCGGAUAAAAGGCGGAGGAGAUUUAUGAUGUGAGAAAUUCGCGAGAUCAGAGUUAAUCGUUUUUUAAUUUGAAACUGACACUGAAGGAGCGACGGAGAAAUGAUACGGGAUAUCGUAAUGUGUCGCGGAAGGCAGUAUUACCGCUGCUCGCUGCAUAUUGUUGCUUAGUAGCUAACAUACGUUUGCUAUCUUUCACUCUUUAACGCAUACAUAGCGGGGCACAAAGAUCGUGUUAAGACUUGUAAAGAGAUAUCUGUAACGAGUAGAUGUUAUUUUUACAGCUCCUGUUAAUUCUCACUUUUCUUUUUUAUAGCCGACAUGAUCGGCGAUAGAUCGAUACGCACGAUGUCCGGUCAUUGGCGCGUCGAUUCGCCAACGGGCGAUCGAUCGAAGCUGUAAUGACAGGACACUCUAUAUGACCCCGGUUGUCGAAUAUUUUCACAUCUCAGUCUGCAAAUUGACUCGUUCGCCGCAAAUUUCAACGUAGCCUAGUCGAAAUUGAUAUUUUUUAUAGCA